AAGCACUUCUAAGCUUAUUGUCAUAAAAAUGUACUCUAAGAUAUAGUUAAACAAAGACAUAUCGCAUAAUGGUAUAAAAAGUAUAUUCAGUUACUAUAAAACAAUAUUAAGCUACAUAUCCUCAUAUAUUUCUUUAGAAUAUUGUAUUGGUUAAUCAGUUCUGUGUUUAUUAGUAUGUGUUUGCUGAAUAAAAUGAUUAUAUUUAUUGUGGGGAGUUGGUAUAAGAACAUAACACAUCUUAAUUCUUUUCUACUUCCCCUUGCACUCCCCUAACUUGAUUGUGAUUUGACUGGCUUGAGAGACACCUAGAUAAGUAAAGCACAUUUCCAGAUGUGUCUGGGUGGAUGAAGGAGGUGUGACUUUGGGGAUAAUAUCUUGCCCCUGGCUGUUCUUCUUGAGCUCCUCUCCUGCUCUCUGCUUGUUGAAUGCAAGUGAGUUCGGCAGCUUUCCUCCAUCUUGCCUUUCCACACUGAUGUUUUUAACCUUGGAGCCAGCACACCAGAGACUGAAACUUUUGAAACUGAGCAAAAAUAAUACUCUCCUUCUUUACAUUGGGAAUGUCAGGUACUUUUUUUCAGCAAUGAAAAAGCUGGCCAGCACAAAUAUAUCUUUUAUUGUUUUGUUUUGUGUUUAGCAUUGCUGAGGUUCAAAUUCAAGACCUCAUACUUGGUAGACAAGCACUUUAAAAUUGAUCUAUAUCUCCAAAUCCUAGAAUGUAUUCUUAAAAUUGAAAUUUUUAUUAUCAAUAGAAAUUUGUCUCACAUGUGUUUAUCCCAGAUAUCUAUGUGGUAACUUCCCCUGUCUUCAAGUUUCUUUCAGAUUUUUACCACUAUUUCAUAGUUCAAAUUGUCUCUAUCCUACUAAAUCUCACUCCUUAACCUAUUCUGUUUUCCUUUUUUACAGAUUCAUCCUUUUCAAUCACACAAUAUGUGUGUCAUUUAUUAUAUUAGUUUAUUGUUGUUGUUCUUGUUCACUAAAGAGGAAAGGCUCAGUAAAUAUUUAUGGGGUGGAAACAGUGGUAAUACUAUUGUAGCUCACUUUCCAAAGUUCUCACCAAAAUGGCUAUUUGAAUUCAAGCAUGGCAUGAAAACACUUUGUGUUUGUUAUGUGCAUACAUGCACAAAUGUGUGCAUAUUACAUGCACACAUUAGCACAGUGCAGAUUAAGUACCAAAAUAUACCAAAAUAAUGGUUAAUUGCCUUACUUAUAAACUAAUGUUUUUUAAUUUUAAAGGUGAUCAUUUUAUUUUAGAAUCAGGAAAUGAAAAGGAGGUGGUUCUCCUUGCCCAAAAAAGGAAGUGUUUACUUAUAUGAUACCCAUAGGAUCAUCUUCGCGGGUGCGACCAUACCCCAGGGAGGCCACAGUGGAGACCAGGACAGUAAUCAUGGAAGAGCCUGUCCCAAGCCUCUGGAGGCUGCCCACCGGGAGCUCUCUGCUGCUCUCCCCAACAUACUCUCCUCUUGCUUCUCUGAAAUAGCUGGAAUGAAGAAAGUUAAAAAUUGUAUAGGUGAAACAUUUUCCAAAAAUUUGCCUCAUAGAAUGAUCAAGGAUUCAGCAAAAUAAAGGUUUCCUUCCAGGAAUGAGGCAUAGGAGACACCAUCUCAUGGCUCUCAUUUGAGUUCCUUUCUGGUAAAUGCCCUUUGCCAAAGAGAGACAUCUUGCCCUAAGUCACACCUUUUCUUGGAGUCAGGCUGUGUCAAGUGGCUGUCAGGUUUAUCCAGGGAGCACAUAAAUGUGUGACCCCCAUGCCCUGAUGAGGGUGCUGUAAGGAGUCCAUCUCCAUCUCAGAGUACUUUGUAAUCAGGUACGUCAUAGUUGUGACUCAUCUAGAUUAAAUCUUCCCUCUCCCUAACCCAACAUUCCUCUAUAAACAUUCCUAAUAAACUUCCUAUGUGUGAACAUUUGUUUCAUGGAGAACUGACUUAAAACAACAGUCUCAUUUACACAUUAAUAUGUAAGCCUGAAAAUCCAAUCAUCUUCUGAUACCAUAGAAUAGUAC
ensembl:lncRNA